rnacentral:tRNA from 1 species
GAGGAUAUAGCUCAAGUGCUAGAGCACAUGCUUAGAAUGCACAAAGUCCUGAGUUCAAUUCUAGGUAUUUCCG